UCCCUGGUGGUCCAAUGGUUAAGACUUUGCCUUCAAAUGCAGGGGGUGUGGGUUCAAUUCCUGGUCAGGGAG
rfam:TPA: Bos taurus chromosome 13, whole genome shotgun sequence.